GAUAUGGCCCACAGAAAGACCAAAAACAACUUCCCUCCUACCACCCCCACUGAGCCUUAAGAAGGGAUUCUUCAUUUUAUUGUGUUCAUCUAGCAUCGCCGUGACUCUCAUGAAAUCAUGAUUUCAGAUACAAGGGGAAAGUAAGAGAGGAAGACGAGGAAAUGGACAGGAACGGGAGGAAAAGAAGAAUAACAAUGCAGUGCUUUGAAAAGUACACAUGCUCCCGAAGUGAUAUUUCCUCAAGAUCCUGUUUGCAGCACCUCCAUGUACAACCUCUCGUUAACCUUCCAUGAAGGUAAGGAUCAGGUAUGCAAGCUGCUGACGCCCUUCAAAGUGAGUGACUGCAUUUCUCCAGCACUGGCAGCCUGUAAAGAAGACAUCUUGCCUCAGGGGAUGCCCGUGGCUCUGAGUGACAGGCAUCAGUGUGGCAAUUAAUCUGCCAGCCGGCUUGGGCAGCUGGGCUGGAAUUCAGGACAAACACAUCAACACCCGCUCUCAGUGGGGAAAGGGGCUCUUGUGGGACAUGGUGGUCCUUUAUUUCUGCUUGUGGUAUUUGUGAGGGGCAUGGGAUGAGACCUUAGUUCCAAGGAGAUGGGGCUUGGCUUGGUCAAGGGAGAUCCAAGAAGCAAGCAGCCAACCGAAGUGCUUCCUUUCUCAUAAAAUAUUCAAAAUCCAUGGGAUCAUCACUGAUGGCUAGAGCUUAGCGUAGGCAUGAAAAGGUAGCCUCGGGCCAAAUGAAAUCACAGCUCAGAUGUUGUUACGCAGCCAGCACUGCUAGACUCUGCCAAUUAAGUCAGGCUGUUCUCUUGUUUGUGUGUUUGCUUGCUUGCAUGUUUAUAUCUAAAAUGUUGUUGUAUCUUGGAGAUGUAAUUUGAUUUGUCCUGGCUUUUAAUGUGCUGUCGAGACAAGCUGAGUGGAAAUUCCAGUUAGAAGUUUUCAUUUGUUCCCCAUGCAGGUUACGGGAACAGAGCAGUGGGCCCGUUGGCCUACAUGUCAUUAAUCUUCUGGGAACAAUGAAAACAGAGCAUUUGAAUGUGUCUUGUGUUUUCCGUCAGGCUCUGUCUGAAGGACUUUUCAUUUGUGUAGUGAGAAGAAUGAGGAAUCCUUGAGAGGAGAGCAUUUGUGUCCAUGGAUGUCCAUCAGCUUCACUAGACGAGGGCCGCAUCCAAAUAGCAGGAAUGAAAGCAAGGUGGGGAAUAGGGCUCCCAUUCAGAGGUUCAGAACCCAAAAUUUUGAGUAGAUACAGCUUUUGACAAAGAGCUGUGGUUGUAGACAACCAUGCCUCUCCCCUAAAAGUUUCCUGAAGGCAAAGCAGAUGACUGGUAUCUGCAAACAAAUAGGUUGACCUCCUUGUGGCUCUUGCUGAAGAGUGACUGUUGACAUUGCAUGUGGCACUUUUUUUGUUAUUCUGUAAUAUUCUGAUGUUUUUUGUCACCUGUAUUCCUUAUUCACUGUCCUCACUGCUGCUCACUUGUCACACUUACCUCUCAUAGGCUCUGUGGUGCGGAGCUGUUGUUUAUUUCAUUAAAGUUACUGUACUAAAUGUAUCCCCAUACUCCAACCAGGAGUUUCAAAGCAGUAUGUGCCAACAUCUGACUGCAGGUACUUACAUUUUAGUUCAUUGUUUGGUCUAAGGACUUCCAGACUUGCUGGUAAAAUGGGUGUCUGAGGAAAACCUCAGCAUUUUGAUUAUAGGGCUGGGCAGGCAACUAGAAUUCCAUUUUGCAAAAUAUUUCAAGGUGUUGACACUUAUGUCAAAGUGGAAUGAAACCAAGACUCUCCCAACUGUUUUUGCCAAAAAAAUAAAAAAAGGCGGGGAGGUAGGGAGCA
rnacentral:lncRNA from 1 species